UACGGAGGAUCCGAGCGUUAUCCGGAUUUAUUGGGUUUAAAGGGUGCGCAGGCGGGGGAUUAAGUCGGCGGUGAAAUUUUGCAGCUCAACUGUAAAAGUGCCUUCGAAACUGGUUUCCUUGAGUGUAGAUGAAGUAGGCGGAAUUUGUGGUGUAGCGGUGAAAUGCUUAGAUAUCACACAGAAUAUCGAUUGCGAAGGCAGCUCACAAAGCCAAGAUUGACGCUGAGGCACGAAAGUGUGGGGAGCAAACAGGAUUAGAUACCCCCGUA
rnacentral:rRNA from 1 species